UAAAGCUAAUAAGUUUUCUGAUAAGAUCGCAGCCAUGAAAAAUGUUCAAAGAGCUCUGCCGCUGCCAUUGUUGGGGCUUCUGUUACUGCUACUGUGUUCAUGUGCCCCGGCGGCCAUGGCGCGUCGGCCGGUGGGAUACGUGAAAUACAAGGAUCCGACGAAGCCGAUUUCGUCGAGGAUUCGAGACUUGAUUGGGCGGAUGAGUUUGGAGGAGAAGAUCGGGCAAAUGGCACAGCUGGAUCGCAAGGGCCUGACGCCGGAGAUCAUGAGGGAUUACUCCAUUGGCAGUGUGUUGAGCGGGGGCGGAAGCGUGCCGAGGGAGGAAGCCACGGCGGCGGAAUGGGUGGAGAUGGUGAACUGGUUCCAAAACGGUUCGCUGUCGAGCCGGCUCGGGAUUCCGAUGAUAUAUGGGAUUGAUGCUGUUCAUGGGAACAAUAAUGUCUACAAGGCUACUAUUUUUCCCCACAAUAUUGGAUUGGGUGCAACAAGGGAUCCUCAACUAGUGAAGAGAAUUGGUGCUGCAACAGCCCUUGAGACUAGGGCUACUGGCAUAACUUAUGCUUUUGCUCCAUGUAUUGCGGUAUGCAGAGAUCCAAGGUGGGGACGGUGUUAUGAAAGCUAUAGUGAAGAUCCUGAAGUAGUGAAAGAAAUGACAGAAGUCAUACUUGGCUUGCAAGGAGAUGUUCCCCAGGAUUAUCCCAAGGGCUUUCCUUAUGUUGGUGGCAAGAAGAAGGUAGUUGCUUGUGCAAAGCAUUUCGUGGGGGAUGGAGGUACAACGUACGGAAUAGACGAAAGCAACACAGUUAUCGACUGGGAUGGAUUGCUGAGUAUUCACAUGCCGGCGUAUUAUCCCUCCAUCCUCAAGGGCGUUUCCACCGUCAUGGUCUCCUAUUCCAGCUGGAACGGCAAGAAAAUGCACGCCAACCGCGCUCUCGUCACCGACUUUCUCAAAGGAACUCUUGACUUUAAGGGUUUUGUGAUCUCGGAUUGGGAAGGGAUAGAUAGGAUCACUACUCCGGAUCAUUCAAACUACACGUACUCAGUUUUAGCUGGUGUUGGAGCUGGGAUUGACAUGAUCAUGGUUGCUUAUAACUACACAGAGUUCAUAGACACUUUAACUUACUUGGUCAAGAACAAGUUUAUCCCCAUGAGCCGGAUCGACGACGCCGUUACGCGGAUCUUGAGAGUUAAAUUCAUCUUGGGUCUCUUCGAGGACCCACUCGCUGAUCUUAGCCUGGCUGAUCAUCUUGGAAGCCAGGCUCACAGAGAUUUGGCAAGAGAAGCAGUGAGGAAAUCAAUUGUUCUAUUGAAGAAUGGUGAUGAUGAUGAUGAGGCUUUGCUUCCUCUCCCUAAAAAGGCAACAAGAAUCUUAGUUGCAGGAAGUCAUGCUGACAAUUUGGGCUAUCAAUGUGGUGGAUGGACUAUCACUUGGCAAGGCCAAAGUGGCAACAUCACUACCGGAACGACCAUAUUGAAAGCUAUAUCAGACACAGUUGAUCCAACCACAGAAGUAGUGUACAACGAAAACCCUGACUCCGACUUCAUUACAAACUCCAAUGAUUUCGCCUAUGCCAUCGUCGUCGUGGGAGAGCAUCCCUACGCCGAGUACGACGGCGACAACAUGAACUUAACCAUCCCCGACCCCGGCCCAGCCACCAUCGCCACCGUCUGUGAACACAUCAAGUGCGUGGUGGUGCUCAUCUCCGGCCGGCCGCUAGUGUUGGAACCCUAUCUCCCCAAAAUGGACGCUCUAGUGGCUGCAUGGCUCCCCGGAAGUGAAGGACAAGGCGUGGCUGAUGUUUUGUUUGGGGAUUAUGAAUUCACCGGAAAGUUACCUCGGACUUGGUUCAAGACCGUCGACCAACUCCCUAUGAACAUCGGAGAUUCCCACUAUGAUCCGUUGUUUCCCUUUGGGUUUGGACUAACAACUAAACCACUUGUUGCAGAUGCAUAAGGCCGGGCUAUAUAUAUAUAGUAUAGUAUAGUAUAGUAUAAAUAGUUAGGUAGAACAUAUAUAUUGUGGAUCAUAUCGACAUUUUUUCGAGACGAUCCAAAAUAUUUGAAUAAAUAUAGGGUUAGAAUUAUUAUUCGUAUACGUAGAUUGUGAUCAAUUGUCACAAUAAAUAAUGCAUAU